rnacentral:rRNA from 1 species
GAUGAACGCUAGCGGCGUGCUUAACACAUGCAAGUCGAACGGAAAGGCUCCUGCUUGCAGGGGUACUCGAGUGGCGAACGGGUGAGUAACACGUGGGUGAUCUGCCCUGCACUUCGGGAUAAGCCUGGGAAACUGGGUCUAAUACCGGAUAGGACGAUGGUUUGGAUGCCAUUGUGGAAAGUUUUUCGGUGUGGGAUGAGCUCGCGGCCUAUCAGCUUGUUGGUGGGGUAAUGGCCUACCAAGGCGUCGACGGGUAGCCGGCCUGAGAGGGUGUACGGCCACAUUGGGACUGAGAUACGGCCCAGACUCCUACGGGAGGCAGCAGUGGGGAAUAUUGCACAAUGGGCGCAAGCCUGAUGCAGCGACGCCGCGUGGGGGAUGACGGCCUUCGGGUUGUAAACUCCUUUCGCUAGGGACGAAGCGCAAGUGACGGUACCUGGAGAAGAAGCACCGGCUAACUACGUG